rnacentral:misc_RNA from 1 species
CGAAUUGUUGACACGAGUUGUUGCUGGCCCCUCGAAGGGGGGCAUGUGCACGCUCUGUUUACACAUCCACCCACACCUGUGCACCCUCUGUAGUUCUGUGGCGUGAGGGACCCUGUCCCUCUGCUGCGGUUCUACGUCUUUAUACGCACCCUGUAGUGAAGUCUUAUGGAAUGUGUGCCGCGUUUAACGCAAUAAAUA